ACCCCCUGGCAUUGGGCAAAGAUGCACCUCACUGGUGGUGGUGUUCUUCUAUCAGUCGGGGGCAGAGCAGAUGGUGUCCUUUGUUCAUCCUAGCUUGAUGCCUGGCUUGGUGGCCAAAGCUGUUUCAUGCCUAGGGCACAUUA
ensembl:snoRNA